rnacentral:rRNA from 1 species
AUGGGCGAAAGCCUGAUGCAGCGACGCCGCGUGCGGGACGAAGGCCUUCGGGUCGUAAACCGCUUUCAGCAGGGACGAGGCCGCAAGGUGACGGUACCUGCAGAAGAAGCCCCGGCUAACUACGUGCCAGCAGCCGCGGUAAUACGUAGGGGGCGAGCGUUAUCCGGAUUCAUUGGGCGUAAAGCGCGCGUAGGCGGCCUGCUAGGUCGGGAGUCAAAUCCGGGGGCUCAACCCCCGUCCGCUCCCGAUACCGGCUGGCUUGAGUCUGGUAGGGGAAGGUGGAAUUCCCAGUGUAGCGGUGGAAUGCGCAGAUAUUGGGAAGAACACCGGUGGCGAAGGCGGCCUUCUGGGCCACGACUGACGCUGAGGCGCGAAAGCUAGGGGAGCGAACAGGAUUAGAUACCCUGGUAGUCCUAGCCGUAAACGAUGGACACUAGGUGUGGGCGGAUUGUCCGUCCGUGCCGCAGCCAACGCAUUAAGUGUCCCGCCUGGGGAGUACGGCCGCAAGCUAAAACUCAAAGGAAUUGACGGGGGCCCGCACAAGCAGCGGAGCAUGUGGCUUAAUUCGAAGCAACGCGAAGAACCUUACCAGGGCUUGACAUCUAGGUGAAGCGGCGGA